GGAGAAGGAGGGCGGGGGCUAGCGCGCCGGGCUUUCGGCGAGCGGGCCGCCCGCGGGCGGGGGCGAACCCCGCCCAGUGACUUCGGGCCGACUGAGCAUGCUCCGAGCGACCGUUGCCGCUGUAGACACUUUCUCUGGGGCUCGGAGCGCGCCCCUUCGGAUUUUAGUUUGGGCCCGGAGGGAAAAAAGUCAGAAAUCAGGUGGGGAGAACUGUUGUUCCGGAUCGGUCGUGACACGCUUUACCCGAAGUACUUUGGCGGCGAACCUAGCAGCCAGAACAUGUUUCUUGGGGGAAGCUGAAAAGAGGAAAUGAACAUGUAAGUCACACCAAAGAUCGGGUUCCUUAAGUGUCUUUAUUGUUGAAGUGCUGCUUGGAAGAAAAGGAACAGAAGACUAAAUGUGGGCUUGAAUGUGAGAAUUCAUAUUGCAGUUUUUCUGCCCAUGUAACAGACCCCUCCCCCACGGACACACGUGUCUGCUCCUGAAAAGUGAAACAUACAAAGUGAUGUGAAUCCUAAAUAUUAAUAUAACUCCCUAGAAGCUUUUCUUGUUUAUUCUAGAACUGAAAUAAUUUGUAAGAAGCCAGGAUAACUUAGUUGAAGUAACUGGAGCGUUGAAGCCCACGGGACAAGGAAUCCAAAUGGUAAUAAUAGUAACAGCAAUAAUAAUAAUAACAACAACAACACUGAUUUAUUAAGUCCUUAUGAUUGUCAGGCACUGUCCUAAGCAGUUUUAUGGGUUUUCUCAAUUAAUUAAAUAAACCUAUUGGAUGAAUA